UUAAGCGACUAAGCGUACACGGUGGAUGCCCUGGCAGUCAGAGGCGAUGAAGGACGUGCUAAUCUGCGAUAAGCGUCGGUGAGGUGAUAUGAACCGUUAUAACCGGCGAUUUCCGAAUGGGGAAACCCAGUGUGUUUCGACACACUAUCAUUAACUGAAUCCAUAGGUUAAUGAGGCGAACCGGGGGAACUGAAACAUCUAAGUACCCCGAGGAAAAGAAAUCAACCGAGAUUCCCCCAGUAGCGGCGAGCGAACGGGGAGGAGCCCAGAGCCUGAAUCAGUGUGUGUGUUAGUGGAAGCGUCUGGAAAGGCGUGCGAUACAGGGUGACAGCCCCGUACACAAAAAUGCACAUACUGUGAGCUCGAUGAGUAGGGCGGGACACGUGGUAUCCUGUCUGAAUAUGGGGGGACCAUCCUCCAAGGCUAAAUACUCCUGACUGACCGAUAGUGAACCAGUACCGUGAGGGAAAGGCGAAAAGAACCCCGGCGAGGGGAGUGAAAAAGAACCUGAAACCGUGUACGUACAAGCAGUGGGAGCCUCUUAAUGGGGUGACUGCGUACCUUUUGUAUAAUGGGUCAGCGACUUAUAUUCUGUAGCAAGGUUAACCGAAUAGGGGAGCCGAAGGGAAACCGAGUCUUAACUGGGCGUUAAGUUGCAGGGUAUAGACCCGAAACCCGGUGAUCUAGCCAUGGGCAGGUUGAAGGUUGGGUAACACUAACUGGAGGACCGAACCGACUAAUGUUGAAAAAUUAGCGGAUGACUUGUGGCUGGGGGUGAAAGGCCAAUCAAACCGGGAGAUAGCUGGUUCUCCCCGAAAGCUAUUUAGGUAGCGCCUCGUGAAUUCAUCUCCGGGGGUAGAGCACUGUUUCGGCAAGGGGGUCAUCCCGACUUACCAACCCGAUGCAAACUGCGAAUACCGGAGAAUGUUAUCACGGGAGACACACGGCGGGUGCUAACGUCCGUCGUGAAGAGGGAAACAACCCAGACCGCCAGCUAAGGUCCCAAAGUCAUGGUUAAGUGGGAAACGAUGUGGGAAGGCCCAGACAGCCAGGAUGUUGGCUUAGAAGCAGCCAUCAUUUAAAGAAAGCGUAAUAGCUCACUGGUCGAGUCGGCCUGCGCGGAAGAUGUAACGGGGCUAAACCAUGCACCGAAGCUGCGGCAGCGACACUAUGUGUUGUUGGGUAGGGGAGCGUUCUGUAAGCCUGUGAAGGUGGCCUGUGAGGGUUGCUGGAGGUAUCAGAAGUGCGAAUGCUGACAUAAGUAACGAUAAAGCGGGUGAAAAGCCCGCUCGCCGGAAGACCAAGGGUUCCUGUCCAACGUUAAUCGGGGCAGGGUGAGUCGACCCCUAAGGCGAGGCCGAAAGGCGUAGUCGAUGGGAAACAGGUUAAUAUUCCUGUACUUGGUGUUACUGCGAAGGGGGGACGGAGAAGGCUAUGUUGGCCGGGCGACGGUUGUCCCGGUUUAAGCGUGUAGGCUGGUUUUCCAGGCAAAUCCGGAAAACCAAGGCUGAGGCGUGAUGACGAGGCACUACGGUGCUGAAGCAACAAAUGCCCUGCUUCCAGGAAAAGCCUCUAAGCAUCAGGUAACAUCAAAUCGUACCCCAAACCGACACAGGUGGUCAGGUAGAGAAUACCAAGGCGCUUGAGAGAACUCGGGUGAAGGAACUAGGCAAAAUGGUGCCGUAACUUCGGGAGAAGGCACGCUGAUAUGUAGGUGAAGCGACUUGCUCGUGGAGCUGAAAUCAGUCGAAGAUACCAGCUGGCUGCAACUGUUUAUUAAAAACACAGCACUGUGCAAACACGAAAGUGGACGUAUACGGUGUGACGCCUGCCCGGUGCCGGAAGGUUAAUUGAUGGGGUUAGCGGCAACGCGAAGCUCUUGAUCGAAGCCCCGGUAAACGGCGGCCGUAACUAUAACGGUCCUAAGGUAGCGAAAUUCCUUGUCGGGUAAGUUCCGACCUGCACGAAUGGCGUAAUGAUGGCCAGGCUGUCUCCACCCGAGACUCAGUGAAAUUGAACUCGCUGUGAAGAUGCAGUGUACCCGCGGCAAGACGGAAAGACCCCGUGAACCUUUACUAUAGCUUGACACUGAACAUUGAGCCUUGAUGUGUAGGAUAGGUGGGAGGCUUUGAAGUGUGGACGCCAGUCUGCAUGGAGCCGACCUUGAAAUACCACCCUUUAAUGUUUGAUGUUCUAACGUUGGCCCGUAAUCCGGGUUGCGGACAGUGUCUGGUGGGUAGUUUGACUGGGGCGGUCUCCUCCUAAAGAGUAACGGAGGAGCACGAAGGUUGGCUAAUCCUGGUCGGACAUCAGGAGGUUAGUGCAAUGGCAUAAGCCAGCUUGACUGCGAGCGUGACGGCGCGAGCAGGUGCGAAAGCAGGUCAUAGUGAUCCGGUGGUUCUGAAUGGAAGGGCCAUCGCUCAACGGAUAAAAGGUACUCCGGGGAUAACAGGCUGAUACCGCCCAAGAGUUCAUAUCGACGGCGGUGUUUGGCACCUCGAUGUCGGCUCAUCACAUCCUGGGGCUGAAGUAGGUCCCAAGGGUAUGGCUGUUCGCCAUUUAAAGUGGUACGCGAGCUGGGUUUAGAACGUCGUGAGACAGUUCGGUCCCUAUCUGCCGUGGGCGCUGGAGAACUGAGGGGGGCUGCUCCUAGUACGAGAGGACCGGAGUGGACGCAUCACUGGUGUUCGGGUUGUCAUGCCAAUGGCACUGCCCGGUAGCUAAAUGCGGAAGAGAUAAGUGCUGAAAGCAUCUAAGCACGAAACUUGCCCCGAGAUGAGUUCUCCCUGAGACUUAGAGUCUCCUGAAGGAACGUUGAAGACGACGACGUUGAUAGGCCGGGUGUGUAAGCGCAGCGAUGCGUUGAGCUAACCGGUACUAAUGAACCGUGAGGCUUAACCUU
rnacentral:rRNA from 1 species